CCGAAAAAUAGGUACAAUAUGAGGUAUAAAAUACCUUUAUCCGAAACCAACAAGAAGGCAACAAAAUAUCGAAUAGAAGGCAACCAAGAUCCAAUCGGAUUAACCAAUCUCAGCCUCGGCAAUAGAUCAAGAUAAAACAAUACCUGAGAUGAAGAUACCUUCCUCAACCCUCGGCAAAAAAUCAAGAUGAUACCUCCUUACCAACUGUAGCAGUACAAGGCAUCUGUGAAACCGAGAUGAAAGAAGGUAGGUAGACCACCAACC
rnacentral:lncRNA from 1 species